rnacentral:rRNA from 1 species
CUUUGAUUCUGGCUCAGGACGAACGCUGGCGGCGUGCUUAACACAUGCAAGUCGAACGGAGAACUUAUUUCGGUAAGUUCUUAGUGGCGAACGGGUGAGUAACGCGUGGGCAACCUGCCCUCCAGUUGGGGACAACAUUCCGAAAGGGAUGCUAAUACCGAAUGUGCUCCCUCCUCCGCAUGGAGGAGGGAGGAAAGAUGGCCUCUGCUUGCAAGCUAUCGCUGGAAGAUGGGCCCGCGUCUGAUUAGCUAGUUGGUGGGGUAACGGCUCACCAAGGCGAUGAUCAGUAGCCGGUCUGAGAGGAUGAACGGCCACAUUGGGACUGAGACACGGCCCAAACUCCUACGGGAGGCAGCAGUGGGGAAUCUUCCGCAAUGGACGAAAGUCUGAUGGAGCAACGCCGCGUGAGUGAUGAAGGUCUUCGGAUUGUAAAACUCUGUUGUUAGGGACGAAAGCACCGUGUUCGAACAGGUCAUGGUGUUGACGGUACCUAACGAGGAAGCCACGGCUAACUACGUGCCAGCAGCCGCGGUAAUACGUAGGUGGCAAGCGUUGUCCGGAAUUACUGGGCGUAAAGAGCAUGUAGGCGGGCUUUUAAGUCUGACGUGAAAAUGCGGGGCUUAACCCCGUAUGGCGUUGGAUACUGGAAGUCUUGAGUGCAGGAGAGGAAAGGGGAAUUCCCAGUGUAGCGGUGAAAUGCGUAGAUAUUGGGAGGAACACCAGUGGCGAAGGCGCCUUUCUGGACUGUGUCUGACGCUGAGAUGCGAAAGCCAGGGUAGCAAACGGGAUUAGAUACCCCGGUAGUCCUGGCCGUAAACGAUGGAUACUAGGUGUAGGAGGUAUCGACCCCUUCUGUGCCGGAGUUAACGCAAUAAGUAUCCCGCCUGGGGACUACGAUCGCAAGAUUGCAACUCAAAUGAAUUGACGGA